UGGGAUCGUGGUCUAGCUUGGUAUGAUUCUGCGUUUGGGACGCAGAGGUCGUGUGUUCAAAUCACGCCGAUCCCACCAU
rnacentral:tRNA from 1 species